UUCUCGUCUCUUCAAUUGUUGAAAACACUCCCCAAUUCUUCCUCUCUGAAACCGGCGGCCCAAAUUGCCUCGAAAUCUGCUUGCUAUCAAAUUUUCCGACGAAUCUCGUUCAUGAAUUCGAGCUCGAAGCUAGAUUCUAGGUCGUCGUCGUCCUAGAAUUGGAGGAGAUGGACCGGAUUGCGGAACAAUUAUUCCGGCGGUAUUCGUCUCCUUCGUCUUCGGGUGUUAAAAGAGGAAAAGGAAUCGCCCUUGUUUGGUUCAGAAAUGGCCUCCGUGUGCUGGACAGUGAGGCUCUGUAUAAGGCCUGGGUUUCGCCCGAGGCUGUGUUGCCGGUGUAUUCCGCUGAUCCAAGAUCUUUUGGUUUUACCUGCUACUUCGGAUUCCCUAAAACUGGAGCAAUGAGAGCACAAUUUAUUGUUGAAUGCUUGGCCUUAACUUGCUUAUUCAAUAAUGGGAAGCCUGAAGAAAUUCUCCCUUCUCUUGCAAAAGCCCUCGGUGCCCACACAGUUGAGAAAAUUUAAUAGCCAUCCUUGUUGUUAAGGGCAUGAGGUUCAUUGGGGGCGAGAAAGCAGGUCUCUCCAGAAUUUAUGAGUAAACUUCUGGAAAAAGGAUUCACGACUGAUGAGGAAACAAGCAAUCAAUGGGAUGUUAGGACCUGGCUACGCUACAAAAUGUUGAGGAUUAUCGAGAGGAGUAGUCCUACAUUGACCACAUUGGCUAGUCCCAAGCAAGCGCAAACGUACGAUCCCGAGGGUGAAUAUGUGGCGUAUUGGUUGCCAAAGCUAUGAAUGUUACCCAAAGUUAGGGGCAUUUCCCAAGAAAAAUGUUAGCAAUGAACAUGUUGUACCUCUACAAUUUUGGAAUUUUGGAAUGUCUAAGUCCACUACCAGUCGAUAUUGUCUUAUUUGGGCAAUCUAUCUUAGGCUUCUUUUAAAGUUUUUAAAAGGCGUCGGCUAGAAAGAGAUUUAUACACCCAUAUAAAAAAUGUUUCGUUCUCCUCCCCAACCGACGUGGAAUUUUCUAGCUGGUGAAAGGAAGUCCCCGAAGCCAAGAUUCUGCAAUAAGUAAAUUAAAAUUCCCCACACUUUACUUCCAUAAUCUCCAUUCUUUCUUUUCUUGACCAAAAGAUUUGCAGGAAAAGAGAUGGCUUUGUUCACAG